rnacentral:misc_RNA from 1 species
GAUGAAGAACGCAGUGAAAUGCGAUAAGUAAUGUGAAUUGCAGAAUUCAGUGAAUCAUCGAAUCUUUGAACGCACAUUGCGCCCGCCAGUAUUCUGGCGGGCAUGCCUGUUCGAGCGUCAUUUCAACCAUCAAGCCCCCGGCUUGUGUUGGGGACCUGCGGCUGCCGCAGGCCCUGAAAACCAGUGGCGGGCUCGCUAGUCACUCCGAGCGUAGUAAUACAUCUCGCUCAGGGCGUGCUGCGGGUUCCGGCCGUUAAAAAGCCUUAUUUACCCAAGGUUGACCUCGUAUCAGGUAGGAAGACCCGCUGAACUUAAGCAUAUCAAUAAGCGGAGGA